rnacentral:rRNA from 1 species
AGAGUUUGAUCCUGGCUCAGAACGAACGCUGGCGGCGUGGAUAAGACAUGCAAGUCGAGCGCUGAUUACAGGGUAGCAAUAUUCUGUGGUCGGAGCGGCGCAAGGGUGCGUAACACGUGGGCAAUCUGCCGUGAAGUCGGGGACAACUUGCUGAAAGGCGAGCUAAUACCGGAUACGAAGCUUGGGAGGCAUCUCCUGAUUUUCAAAGUUGGGGACCGUAAGGCCUGACGCUUCAUGAUGAGCCCGCGGCCUAUCAGCUAGUUGGUGAGGUAACGGCCCACCAAGGCUAAGACGGGUAGCUGGUCUGAGAGGACGACCAGCCACACUGGAACUGAGACACGGUCCAGACACCUACGGGUGGCAGCAGUCGAGAAUUUUUCACAAUGGGCGAAAGCCUGAUGGAGCGACGCCGCGUGGGGGAUGAAUGGCUUCGGCCCGUAAACCCCUGUCAUUUGCGAUCAAACCUCAUUAUUUAAAAGAUGAUGAGCUGAUAGUAGCGAAAGAGGAAGGGACGGCUAACUCUGUGCCAGCAGCCGCGGUAAUACAGAGGUCCCAAGCGUUGUUCGGAUUCACUGGGCGUAAAGGGUGCGUAGGUGGCGAGGUAAGUCGGAUGUGAAAGCUCGGAGCUCAACUCCGAAAUGGCAUUGGAAACUACCUUGCUCGAGGGUUGGAGGGGGGACUGGAAUUCUCGGUGUAGCAGUGAAAUGCGUAGAUAUCGAGAGGAACACCAGUGGCGAAGGCGAGCCCCUGGACAACUCCUGACACUGAGGCACGAAAGCUAGGGGAGCAAACAGGAUUAGAUACCCCCGUAGUCC